rnacentral:rRNA from 1 species
CGUGUAGGCGGCUUGUUAAGUCGGAUGUGAAAUCCCGGGGCCCAACCCCGGAACUGCAUUCGAAACUGGCAGGCUAGAGUCUCGGAGAGGGUGGCGGAAUUCCCGGUGUAGAGGUGAAAUUCGUAGAUAUCGGGAGGAACACCAGUGGCGAAGGCGGCCACCUGGACGAUGACUGACGCUGAGACGCGAAAGCGUGGGGAGCAAACAGGAUUAGAUACCCUGGUAGUCC